GAUGAACGCUGGCGGCGUGCCUAAUACAUGCAAGUCGAGCGAACAGACGAGGAGCUUGCUCCUCUGACGUUAGCGGCGGACGGGUGAGUAACACGUGGAUAACCUACCUAUAAGACUGGGAUCACUUCGGGACACCGGAGCUAAUACCGGAUAAUAUAUUGAACCGCAUGGUUCAAUAGUGAAAGACGGUUUUGCUGUCACUUAUAGAUGGAUCCGCGCCGCAUUAGCUAGUUGGUAAGGUAACGGCUUACCAAGGCAACGAUGCGUAGCCGACCUGAGAGGGUGAUCGGCCACACGGGAACUGAGACACGGACCAGACUCCUACGGUAGGCAGCAGUAGGGAAUCGGCCGCAAUGGGCGAAAGCCUGACGGAGCAACGCCGCGUGAGUGAUGGAGGUCUUCGGAGCGGAAAACUCUGUUAUGAGGGAAGAACAAAUGUGGAAGUAGCUAUGGACGGCUUGACGGUACCGAAUCAGAAAGCAACGGCUAACUACGUG
rnacentral:rRNA from 1 species